CCCAGGACCCUGGGACCAUGACCUGAGCCGAAGGCAGAUGCUUAACCGACUGAGCCACCCAGGCGCCCCUCUUACCCCGUUGAGAACAAAUGGCAAAUACCUCUGAGGACUGAAGUUGCUCAAGGAUCUCUUACCAGAGAGAGCACACAGAAUUUUACGGUAGGGGGAGUCAUUCAGAGACUGCUAAGGCAGCAUGGUCCCCGUGACUGCUGUGUCUCCAUGAGGAGCCAAGUGCAGCAGGGCAAGGUAACCCACCUCUCCUUUGUGGGGGUACCAGCGACGAGGAGCCUGAGCCCGGAACCUCAUCUCCCAUGCUUACACCACAGGGGCGCAUCCUCUCGGGGACGCUCUAGAGCAUCUGGCCCCACACUCUUCCCCUUCAGGGUGAUGGCUGCCCAGAGCUCCCUACAGUGUUUGUAGUUAGGGCUCAAAGGCCCCCAAGCCGUCUUCCUCCUUUCUUCUACACUUCACCUUCUCCCAGCCUCUGCGCUACACCGAUGUGGCACCUGCCGAAAAUGGAGCUGAAGAGUUCUGAGAAGAAACCCUGGUCCCAGGACCCCUCAGUCCUCUCUCACUGGGCGUCCCAGCACUUGAAUCCCGGUCCUAUGUCCUACUGUGCUUGACCUGCCCAGCUGAGGAGACAAAGGAUGCCAGUGAGUGCGGCGAGUCGGCGGCAAGUUCAGUCAGUGUGCACAGCCGAGCGCACAGCUCCACGGCGGCUCCUGGCAGAGCAGGCGGGGGUCCUCCCAGUCACCAGAGAAGAUUUCACCAGUAAAAACCUGCAAACUCUUUAUUAAAUUCUCCCAUUUCAUCUGUACAGAAAAAAAUGCACAUUAUGUUCAGGAUCUCAGUAACAUUUCAAAAUUACACAGCAUGAACAUGUAAAAACAAGGAACUGCCGGGAUUUUAUACAUAGAAAGAAAAAUCAUUUACAAAAGAGGCUUGUUAAUUUUACUUUUUU